CUAGUAGAGAGUGAGAGACUUGUAGCUGAAAAUGAAACAACGGGAGCUUAAGCCUUUUGGCCGACAUUUAUCACAAAUCUAGCAUGUAUCAUCUUCUGAGGGCCGAUGAUGGUAUCAACUUCUUCAUUAUCAAUCAACUCUAGAGCUACAAUUCAUAUGGAUAUAGAUGAUCAAUAAAAGUUAAAAAUAAUUAUACUUGAAUUAAAAGUACAUAGAUAAAAAUAUCUUUUUAUCUUAGACCAAUUCCCAUUAUCUUGUCCUUUCUUUUUUAUGGUCCCACUUCUGUAACCC
rnacentral:lncRNA from 1 species